rnacentral:rRNA from 1 species
UACGAAGGGGGCAAGCGUUGUUCGGAAUUACUGGGCGUAAAGGGCGCGCAGGCGGCCGUUCAAGUCAGGCGUGAAAGCCCCGGGCUCAACCCGGGAAUAGCGCUUGAGACUGGGGGGCUUGAGUUCGGGAGAGGAGAGUGGAAUUCCCAGUGUAGAGGUGAAAUUCGUAGAUAUUGGGAAGAACACCGGUGGCGAAGGCGGCUCUCUGGACCGACACUGACGCUGAGGCGCGAAAGCGUGGGGAGCAAACAGG